rnacentral:rRNA from 1 species
GCCUUCGGGUUGUAAAGCUCUUUUGUCAGGGAAGAAACGGCGGUUUCUAAUACUGAUCGCUAAUGACGGUACCUGAAGAAUACGCACCGGCUAACUACGUGCCAGCAGCCGCGGUAAUACGUANGGUGCAAGCGUUAAUCGGAAUUACUGGGCGUAAAGCGUGCGCAGGCGGUUUUGUAAGUCUGUCNNGAAAUCCCCGGGCUCAACCUGGGAAUUGCAAUGGAGACUGCAAGGCUGGAGUUUGGGAUAGGGGGGUAGAAUUCCACGUGUACCAGUGAAAUGCGUAUAUAUGUGGAGGAACACCGAUGGCCAACGGAGCCCCCUGGGUCAAGACUGACGCUCAUGCACGAAAGCGUGGGGAGGAAACAGG